AAAUUUUACAAUAACACUAUUAUACUUAAAUCUUUAUUAUUGCAAUACAUAAAUAAGUAAUUAAUGCACCAGCUUGCGGUUGUAACCAGGCAAGAUGAACCUAUGAACUCGCAAGCAUGCCAAUCAGAUCGACAUCCACACAACACCGGUAUGAACAUUGUCUAGAUAAAACUUUAUUUGUAUUUUAUUCCAUAAUUUAAACUAGUUUGUGCGGGUCACACAUGACAUUGUGUGACACUUUAUUUGUCACCGCUACAUCGACAUAUCCAUCGACUAAGCAACGACAAUCCAACUAUAUAUUACUAGAGAUAUUUUCUUAUCAGUAGGCACCAACUCGGGUGCCAACGCCGAAUGGCACAAUAGUGGUGGUGCCGUACACCGGCACGUUGACACUGCACAUCGUUGGCAGGGUACGAAGUGCAAUGGAAGUCAUCACCUCAAGUUGAGCUAUUUGGUGUGGCUGCAACAAGGUACCCUGGGGUACCUGUUGUUGUUGAGGCCAUUGACCCAGUUGUUGUUGUUGAGGUUGUUGGAAAGAACACUGUCCGAGCUGCUUCUGUUGUUGUUGGGGUUGGGAGACACCUUGGACCGACUGUUGGGGUUGUUGCUGCUGAGGUUGGUUCAAACCCUGACCAUGUUGUUGUUCUUGUAGGACGAUCGAGUAGAUGAUGGCACGGAUUGCAUCGUAGCGUGAUUGUUCGGGGAUUUGCGGCAGCUGCCGGCAACAUUGUUGCUGCAUCAC
rnacentral:lncRNA from 1 species